rnacentral:rRNA from 1 species
UAACCUAGCGGCGGGACGGGCUGAGUAAUGCUUAGGAAUCUGCCAUUUAGAUGGGGGACAACAUUCCGAAAGGAAUGCUAAUACCGCAUACGUCCUACGGGAGAAAGCAGGGGAUCUUCGGACCUUGCGCUAAAUGAUGAGCCUAAGUCGGAUUAGCUAGUUGGUGGGGUAAAGGCCUACCAAGGCGACGAUCUGUAGCGGGUCUGAGAGGAUGAUCCGCCACACUGGGACUGAGACACGGCCCAGACUCCUACGGGAGGCAGCAGUGGGGAAUAUUGGACAAUGGGCGAAAGCCUGAUCCAGCCAUGCCGCGUGUGUGAAGAAGGCCUUUUGGUUGUAAAGCACUUUAAGCGAGGAGGAGGCUACCUAGAUUAAUACUCUAGGAUAGUGGACGUUACUCGCAGAAUAAGCACCGGCUAACUCUGUGCCAGCAGCCGCGGUAAUACAGAGGGUGCGAGCGUUAAUCGGAUUUACUGGGCGUAAAGCGUGCGUAGGCGGCUGAUUAAGUCGGAUGUGAAAUCCCUGAGCUUAACUUAGGAAUUGCAUUCGAUACUGGUCAGCUAGAGUAUGGGAGAGGAUGGUAGAAUUCCAGGUGUAGCGGUGAAAUGCGUAGAGAUCUGGAG